rnacentral:lncRNA from 1 species
CACGGCAUUCGACAACUUCAAUCAGGAUGGGCUGAUGGACCGGCAUAUGUGACUCAAUGCCCCAUCCAAACAGGUCAAAGCUAUGUUUACAAUUACACAAUUAAAGGCCAAAGAGGAACACUCUUUUGGCAUGCUCAUAUAUCUUGGUUAAGAUCAACACUCUAUGGUCCUCUCAUCAUUCUUCCCAAGAAAAAUGUUCCAUAUCCUUUUGCAAAACCCCACAAGGAAGUUCCUAUGAUAUUUGGUAAUGAAGUUACAAAAAAGAUGAACCUAAGUCUACCUAUUUUUAUAUUUACAUAAGCUAAUUAUACUCUUUAAUUUUGGUUUUAGGAGAAUGGUUCAAUGCAGAUACUGAGGCCAUCAUAGCACAAGCCCUGCAAACUGGGGGAGGACCAAAUGUUUCUGAAGCCUACACAAUCAAUGGACUUCCAGGGCCAUUGUAUAACUGCUCUAAAAAAGGUAUCAAGUGCAGAUAAAUAUAUCUUAUUGAAAUAAUCCCCAAUUAUUAAAAGAAUGAAGCAAAUAAUUCCUAAAAUUGAAAAUAUGAAGCCUUAAACGUAACUACUCAUAAUAUAAUAGUUGUGUUAUUUGAACAUCAACGUGCAAACACCGUGUGUGAAACUGUACGUGUUUAUCUCUAUCUCUUACUUUUUAUUUUCUACAACUUAAACACAUUUAAAAAAUACACAAAAAUCAAAGCAUGCUGUAUUCGACAUCCAAGUUUUAUAUCAAAAUUCAUUUUUCUAAUACAGUAUUCCACUUUAUCACAAAAGCAAAUACUAAAACAGGCACUCAACAAGUGGACAUUCACUAGAUUAGACACCAAUUUCUACAAAAGCAUAUAGAAUUCUUUAUGAAACGGUAUCAGCAAUAUGGUUUUAAUCAUUUUAACUCUUUACAGAUACAUUCAAGCUAAAGGUGAAGCCUGGAAAGACUUACCUUCUACGUUUGAUCAAUGCUGCACUAAAUGAUGAGUUAUUCUUCAGCGUUGCAAAUCACACCCUCAAAGUUGUUGAAGCCGACGCUAUUUACGUGAAACCUUUUGAGACUAACACCAUCCUUAUUGCCCCUGGCCAAACCACUAAUGUUCUUCUCAAGACCAAGUCUCACUAUCCCAAUGCAGCCUUCUUAAUGAGUGCUAGACCAUAUGCUACCGGCCAGGGAACUUUUGACAACACCACUGUUGCCGGUAUCUUGGAAUAUGAAAUCCCAUCCAAUACUCAUCAUUCAGCUUCUUCACUAAAAAAGAUUCCACUUUUCAAACCUACUCUCCCUGCACUUAAUGACACUUCUUUUGCAACAAAGUUUUCCAAGAAACUCCGCAGCCUUGCCAGUCCCCAGUUUCCGGCUAACGUUCCACAGAAAGUUGAUAAACACUUUUUCUUCACAGUAGGCCUUGGUACGAACCCUUGUCAAAGCAACCAAACAUGUCAGGGACCCAAUGGAACAAUGUUUGCAGCAUCAGUGAACAAUGUAUCUUUCACAAUGCCAACCACUGCACUUCUUCAAUCCCACUUCACUGGACAAUCCAGAGGGGUCUACGCCCCUUAUUUUCCAAGCAGUCCCUUGCAUCCAUUCAAUUACACUGGCACCCCACCAAACAACACCAUGGUGAGCAACGGAACAAAGGUUACGGUUCUUCCUUUCAACACAAGUGUGGAGCUUGUGAUGCAAGACACUAGCAUUCUUGGUGCAGAAAGUCAUCCUCUCCAUUUGCAUGGCUUUAACUUCUUUGUUGUUGGACAAGGAUUUGGUAACUACGAUUCAAAUAAGGACCCCAAAAACUUUAAUCUUGUUGAUCCUGUCGAGAGAAACACAAUUGGUGUCCCAUCUGGUGGAUGGGUUGCUAUCAGAUUCCUUGCAGAUAAUCCUGGUUGGUUCCUAGAUUAUUCGUCAAACUAUCAAAAGUCAUUUUGGUUUCAAAGAAUGUUUUAGUUCACUUUCAUAAAUUAACAAAAAUGUCUAAUUGUGUGUGCAGGGGUAUGGUUCAUGCAUUGUCACUUGGAAGUACAUACAAGUUGGGGUCUUAAGAUGGCAUGGAUUGUGUUGGAUGGAAAACUUCCAAAUCAAAAGUUACUUCCACCACCAGCUGAUCUUCCCAAGUGUUAACUUCAAUAUAAAAUUGCUUCUUUUUUUAUAUAUUUUUUUAUUUUUACAUUUUGGCCCUUUUUGUUAUCCAACUGGGCAGUUGUUUUUCACUAUUUGCUUUAGUUUCUUUUCUGUAAUAGUUUCUUAAGGCUUGACGUGUGGUUGAAGUUACAACUUUUUCUUUCUUUGGAAGAGAGAUUUAUUUAUACAAUAUGCCUUGACUAUACAAUUGUAUUUCAUUGAUUUGAGUGAAAACUCCUUAUUGAAAAUCUAUUAUUAUAAUAAUUUGUUAAUUUUAUUUGUUUAUGAUACAAAUAAUGUCUAAAAUUUCAAAUGUUAACAUCACUUUGAAAGGAAUAUGAGAAUAACUUGUAAAAUGCUAAAUAACUUCGAAGUUAGAAACAGUUUUUGAUCUUAGGUCGUUUACGAGCCUCUCUCUUCAUCUUUCAGCUAUAAACAAGAAUACAUAGCACUAUUGGUUUGCAACUGCGCAUCUCUGACAAUGAAAAGUCAGAAUUUUCAACAUGAUAAGGUGUUUUCAUUGUUCUCUACUUGUAGGGACUAUUACUAUCUUUUUUGUGAGUUUAUGCAUCAAAGUGUUACUAUGGUGAGAACUUUACCACUUAAAAAUGAUGGGUUAAUGGCUAUUGCAGUGAUGGAUUAUGUCUGACAACACUAUAAAUGUUAUAUUUUGCAAUCAGUUCUUUCCAGUAGUUUUAGGCAGCAAUUGUGUAAGCAAAGUUGGAGAAAAGAACAUUCCUAUCCAUGACUCAAUCACAGAUUAUGUAAACAAGUCCAGGCAUUUGACUCGCUGCUUAAUAUUGAUCAGGAUUUGUGUCCCUUAAUGACCAACUGAUCAAAAUGCAAAAGUUGCAAGUUUUUCAAUGUAGUUGAUGGAUAGUAAGACUCUCUUUGAAUAAACAACUUAAUAUUAAGUGCUUAAAGCCGCCAAGGGUUGACCCUGGUGGUGAAGGUUUGUGACCUAGUAGUGUGCUCCUCUCUAGGUCUCACUAUCAAGUUUGAAUUCCCUAUGUGCCAACAAUUUUUGUGUUUGAUCAAUCCAUACAGAGCUUUUCAUUGGCUUCAAUCAGCCACCCACGAGUGGACGAUGGAUUGGUCUCCAGGAUUAGUAGGUCCUUGGGCCGGAGAACGAGUUUUCAAAGAAAAAUAAAAAUAUUAAGUGCGUAUAUCAUAACUGUUUAUCAUAUAAAUGCUUGUCUGUAAGCUAUUCCCAUUUCUAUGACAAAAAAUAAAUUAAAUUUAGACUGUUUUCAUAUAAUCUAUAAGCUGUUUCCAUAAGAUAUUUGAAGAGCUUAUUGAAAUAAGCUGAAAAACGUGUCAUUAGGUGCUUCACUAAGCUCUUUUAAAUAGUCUAAUAAGCGCUUAUGUCAAAUGUCAAUAGAUAAUCUCAAAUGAAUCAAUUUGAACAGGUUCUAAGUACUACAUACUUAAAAUCUUCUUCUUCUUCAGCUUUGCAUUGUAUGCUUCUUUAACUCCUUCCGAACCUGAAAGAGAUAAUAAAAAAUGAAAAUGUGAGUGAAACAAACUCCAACUCCGUAAUUAAAUUCUUCAAUUUCUAUGAAUAUUUUGUAUCAUGAGCUAACACCUUUUUGUCUCAAUUACCUUCAAUGCACUCACGAGUCACGUCAACACGCACCACAAUCGUGGUAGUUUUCUUUCAUCAUUGACAAUCGUGUGUUUAGUGGCGCCAAACUCUGACAUAGGAGACAUAGGCACGUUAUGUUGAGAAUUGUUGUUGACACAUUGCAUAAUGAUGAGACACAUAAGUAAAAUACGAUUUUGCCUCCUCGGCAGUUAACUGCCGAAGAAUUCAAUAACCGGCUGUAGUUAACUGCCGAAGAAUUCAAGAACCGGCUGCAUCCUGGGCAAUUAACUGCCGAAAAUUGGUUAUAAGAACAGAACACACAUAAGAUUUUUCAAAACUCCAUUGUUGCGGUUUUCAUUCUCUUAGGUGCGAUUAUCUGCCAUUUCAAGCCAAUUUCAAUCACAAAAACAAAUAAGUUUUUUGAAUCCUAUUGCAUUGUUAUUUUGUGGUCGAAUUGUUUGUUUUUUUUUUGUUAAAUUUCGAUUAUAUAAAUUUUAUUGAUUUUAUGAUAUGUUAGGAUAGUUUAGGUUAGAAUGGUUAGAAUUGUUAGAGAACUUUUAUUGAAUUGUUAGGUUUAGGUUUUGAUGAAUCGUUGUAGAAUUGUUAAGGUUUAGGUGUAGGUUUUGAUGAUAGUUUAGGUUUAGGUUUAGUUUUUGAUUUUACGAUUUUAUGGCAUUGUUGUUUAGUUAGGUUUUGAUCGCCAUUUUUUUUUAAUGUAGAUAUGUCUCAGAAUCAGAAUCAGGGUAACGUUCAGGGUGAUGAGAAGAACAAAGAAAAAUUGCAUAUGACAUGACACAGAAUUGUUUGUGAUGGUUCUGAAAGAAAGAAAAAAAAAGGGUUCGAAGGUGCCGGUAUACAAUCAAUCCAGGUUGAGGAGGAGCGGGAGGACAUGUUAUUUUGGUCCUCAACCAAAACAAGGUGCCCUAGGGACUGUAGCGGGCAACUCGAUUGACUUGUGUGACGAGGAAGAAUGAAUGUAAUGACAUUUAAUGCCUAAUUGUUUUGAAUUUUUUUAUGUUUUAUUUUCGUGUCGCGCACAUUUUGUUUGACAUUAUAGUACUUAGAAUAAAAUCGCAUUUGGAAUAAUUUCGAUUAAAGUCACGUUUUGAAUAAUUGCGUAUUCGAAUAAAAACUAAUUAAAUCUAACGUGAAUUCAACUAAUUAAAAUUGCGUAAUGAAUAAAUAAAUUCGAAAAAUGAAUAAAUAAGAAAAUUAUUGUUCCAUUCAAAACAAAAUGUAUUAUGCAUAUUCAACUAUAUAUGUUCAUAGUACAUUGCAUUACAUUACAUUCCGGAAUGUACCUUCCAACUCAGCAACAAUUAUCUUACCAAUGAAUGGGACAAAUUCAAACUUGCUAAGCAGCAGGACUCCAACAUCCGAUCAGCAUCUUGAAUGAUGGUAUUCAAGUGUCAAAAGAAUGAGGUUCAUUCCUUGACACUUGAAUACCAGCAUUCAAGAGGCUCAUCGAAUGCUGGAUUCCUGCCGUUUAACAAGUUUGAAUUACCCCAUUCAAAGGAAGAUAAUUGUUGCAGUUAGACGUUUGUAACUUCCAACUACAACAAUUGUCUUACCUUUGAAUGGGGUAAAUUCAAACUUCCCAAGCAGCAGGACUCCAAUAUUCGACCGGCAUUCCCAAUGAUCCAUUCAAAAGAUUAAAUUCUUGUUAGGCUGAGAUUAAAUGAUGGUAUUCAAAUGUCAAAAGAAUGAGGUCCAUUCCUUGACACUUCAAUACAUUCAUUUAAACCAGCCUAACAAGAAUUUAAUCUUUUGACGGGAACAAUGGGAAUGCCGGUCGAAUAUUUGAGACCUGCCGUUUGACAAGUUUGAAUUACCUCAUUCAAAGGAAGACAAUUAUUGUAGCUGAAAGGUGCAUUCAUUCAGUACCUAAUGACGAUCUUCUGACGGAAUCAAACUUUUGAUGAUAUCUUCAGUUGAUCUCAGCAACGUCACCCGCAUAUCGAUCCACUAGAACAUGUUGUGCUCCCAAAACAUGCUCGUCACGUUUUCGUCAAUCGUUAAUUCUACCCAAGUGAAUGAUACUCUCCCCUCGUCGAGCGUUGGACGUUUAUACCGAACGUGUUUCACCCUCCUUGUGUCUCUGGGGUUGACUCCUUGGUUGAAUUCAGUCAGUUCAUCCUUGAGACCUAACGUUACACCAAGGCACUGAACCUUCAACCUCUGAGGUUCUCCGCCGUUGGAUUGUGCAUGAACGUCGAUCCACCCGGCCAUUGUUUCAAAUCUACACAAUAAGAAAUUAAAAACAAUACUCAUUCAAACAUUUCAUCAAACACUUGAUGUGCAAAUUAUACAUAGACUCUAAAAAUCAUACAAAUAACCCUAAAAUUAUAAAUCAUAUACUCUUACUAAAAUAAAAAAAAUUAAUCAUAUACUAUAACAUAAAUCAUUCAACUUAUGUUUAACAUAAUUUUUUUUGUUAUAACGUAAAAUAUAACAAAAUUAUUCAACUUAUAUUUACUCUUAAAAUAAAUCAUAUACUCUUACUAAAAUAAAAAAAUAAAUAUAAAACACCAAAUUAAAAUAUAACCCUAAAAUUUUAAACUAUAACAUAAUCAUCAUGCAACCAUUUUAACUAAAUUAAUCAACUAACAUCUAAUCUAAAAAUGAUUUAUAACAUGUAAAUCUAAUUAAAAACUAAAAUAAAAAAAUAAAUAUAAAACACCAAAAUAAUAAUAAAUAACACUAAAAUUCUAAAUUAUAACAUAAACAUCGUGCAAAUAUUUUAACAACAUUAAUCAACUAACAUCUACUCUAAAAAUUAAUUAUAACAUGUAAAUCUACUCAAAAACUAAAAAAUAAUAAAUCUACUCAAAAACUAACAAAUAAAAACAUUUAUAACAACAAAAAUGUAAGUUAAUAGCAUUAUAAUUACUUACUUACUUGUGAUUUUGUUGAAUAAAUUUGGUUGGGUUUUUUAGAUUUGGUAAAAAAAAAUUGGAAAAUGAGAUGAAUAAUGGAUGAGAGAGCUUCUGCCAGAUUUGUAGCAGAAGAUCCUCGGCAGUUAACUGCAGCCGGUUUUUGAAUUCCUCGGCAGUUAACUGUAACGCCCUCUUUAAUUAUUUGAUUAUUUUAAUGAGUUUAGAAUAUACUUAUAUGAUUUGUGUGAUUUAUAUGAUUUAUUUUGAUGAGUGAUAUUUUAUUAUGUUAUAUGUUGGUAUUUAUUAGUAUAAUAUAUAUGCUAUUUGGUUUAGAAAUAUAUAUGUUAUAGAAAUAUAUUUGUUAUAGAGAUAUAUUUGUUAUUUGUUAUAGAAAUAUAUUAUAUUAUAUUUUAUAUAUAUUAUAUAUAUUAGAAUAGAAUAUUGAGUUUAGGGGUUGUUAUGAGAUUUUAGAGAGUUUUAGGGGAGAAAGAGAAAUAAGAUAAAAUAGAAAAGAAAAGUUAUAAAUAGAUGAGACUUAGUUUAGAAAAACAUAACGUACGAUCAAUUUUGGAGAAAAGGGAGAAAAAAAGUCAAGAGAAGGGAGAGAGACCUAGGAAGCUGCGAUUUUUAUAUUCCAAGGUAAGGGUGGGACUAACAUUUAAUAAUCUUGAGUCUAUGAUUCUGAAAAUUGUAUUUAACAUGUUGUAGGUUUAGUUUUUUAGAAUUUGAGAAUUAGGGUUAAGAUUGAUGAUUGUGAUGAUUUUGAAUGAAAGUGAAGUUGAAUAAUAUAGGUUGCUUUUUCUUUUCAUCUCUGCCCCGAAUUUGAAAUGAAAUCUGGUAUUGAUAGGUCAACAAUUGGUCUUAGGUGUAAACACGAAAGUUGUAGGUAUGGAUAUUAGCUUUUUAAUGCCGUUGGUCUGACGUCAAAACAAUUUAUAGAACUUGAGUUAUGGUCAAAUUACUGCACGUAGGUCAGAGUGAAUUUUUAUGAAUUUCCGCACAACUUUGUCCAAAUUUGAAAUGAAAACUGGUAUUUAUUGGUACAGAGUUGGUCUUAGGUGUAAACAAGAAAGUUGUAGGUAUGAAUGUUAGCUUUUUAAUGCCGUUGGUUUGACUUCAAAAGGAUUUAUAGAACUUGAGUUAUAGUCAAAUUACUGCACGUAGGUCACAGUGAAUAAUUGAAUAUGAUUGAUGAAUUAGUAUAUGAAUGUAUAGUUUGUGAAUACGAUAUUGUCCAUGAUUGAUGAAGUGUUAUAUGUAUAUAUGAUGUUUUAAGAUGUUGAUUAUUAUUUGAUGUUGUUAUAUUGUGAUAUAAUUGUAUAUGCAUUACUUGAAUUAUAUGUGAAUAAUUGAGACGUUGUUGACUUGCAUUUGAUAUUAUUAUGUCAUGCUGUUUUUGUAUACUGUUGUGUUGCUGUUGUUAUUUAACUAAGCUGCAUGAGUCGGUCUAAGUUGAUUAAGAUGAUGAAGUUCCAAAUUAUUGGAUUAUAUAAGAGGUUGUCGAUUUAAGAUAUUAAGAGGUCGAGUCCAUGCAUUAGCAUUUCAUUGUUGGGGGCUUGAUGCCCUGGAGCCUUUGCUCAAUUAAGUUGAGGGCUUGAUGCCCUGGGAGCCUUUUUACGCUCAAAUAAAGUUGAGGGCUUGAUGCCCUGGGAGCCUAUUUACGCUCAAAGAUUGGUACCACAUGCAUGAUUAGAAGAUUAAGUUGCAUAGUCAAGAGGUUAAGUUGUCAAGUUGUCAAGUUAUCAAGUUGUCGAGUUGUUAAGUUGUUAAAUCAUGAAAUUGUUUAAAGCUGUGAUUCUUUAUAUGAACUAUUAAAGAAGUGAAUUAUGAUAUAUUAUUAUCUAUGAUGAAUAUUAUGAUGAUUACAUGAUGUUGUCUAUGAGUUGUUAAAUAUGAUUGAUGAUGCUUAUGUUGUUAAAUGUAAUUGAUGAAUUAUAUGCUUAAUAUUAUUGUUUGUGAAAUCUCACCCCUUCUGUUUGCCCACCAUGGGUAACUAACAGGUAACCAAGAAUAGUUGAUGUCGUGUGAGCUUUCCUUCUCGUGUGUCUUAGGUGCUCUGAUACGUAACGGGAUGAGAACUUUGUUAUUGCUUUUCUAUUCCUUACGUAUUGUUUUUGAAGAUUUAUGACUAUGUUUUUAGAUUGGAUUUUUAUGAGACAUUUAUGAAGAGGCCUUCGUGCCAAAGACUGUUUAGUUAUUGAAUAAAUUUCGCUGCGAAGUAUUAAAGAUUUUGUUAUUGAAUUUUAAAGGAUAAAUAGUUAUUUAUUCAGUUUAUGAUUUUAAGAAAAGAAUGUGACAUUCCGUUUAUGUGAAUACUCUGAUUAUUUUUAUGAAAUUUUUAUGUUGGGAAAACGGGAUGUUACAUUAACUGCCGAGGGGGCAAAAACGUAUUUUACUCGUGUUUCUUAGACUUAUGCAAUGUGUCAACAACAAUUCUCCGUUAUGUUUGAGUAGUGAUAUUUAUUUUUUUUUGUUACUUUUUUUUUUUGCUUUCGCACCGGUUUUCGACCCACCAUUGAUGGGCGACUAAUCUGACUCGUGCGUAGAGGCAUGCGCACUAGCCAAGCGUUGCUCCUCCUAGGAAUCGAACCCGGUAUUCCCCGGAUAAGUCCUUGGAAGGAGCUCAAGCAACUUGGUUUUUUUUUUUUGGUUACUUUGAGUAAGUGAUAUUUGAACAAUCAUUAAAAAUAACUUUUAUGACAAUUUUUAUUUCUCUUUUCAUUGAUUAUUUUUAUUUCUCUUUUCAUUGAUAAAAAACAAUAGAGAAAAAAAGAAAAAGAUAGAAUAAAAUCAUGAUGUAAGUAUGAGAGAUAAUUGUCUACAAAUUUUUCUUUUUGUUUUUUGUUUUAGUCCACACACAAAUCAUGAAUUAAAUAUGAAUUUUAAACACCUAAAACCUAAAUAUUCAUAUUUGAUAUGUUUUGGAAAGAUUGUCAUAAUAUUCUACCGUGAUGAAAAACUUUUGGAGGAGGAAAAACUUAAUAAAAUUUUUAGAGGGACUAAAACGAAAAUUUAAUAUUUUGAUAAGGACAAAAAAACAUAUUUCAUCCAAUAUAAAAAUACAUGGAAUAAAUCAUAUAAUAUCAUUACUACGGAAAACUACUAGAAACGUGUUUGGAAACAAAACUAAAUAUGUAUCACAAGAAGAUGGGAACAAUCCGAGAUCCAUAUUGAUUUGAAAUUGAAAUACAAGAUGAUGGAGGAUGUAUAACCCCUUUUGGCCAUUUAUACUAACUCCACAACUACUAAUAUGAAGGUCUUUACUGAUCAUCAUACUAUCCCAUAAAUACCACAAAGCAACUUGGGGAUAGUAUGAAUGACCAACAAUGAAAAAUGUCAUGAUAACAAAAAAAAAAUGAAAGGUCAGUUAUAAUGGAAAUGAGAGAAGAUUGAAAGCCGAUUUAUACACAUAAUGCAAACCUCGACGGUGGUGAUAGUCAAAAGAAGCAUGAAACACACUAUCCAUCAACCAAAGAUGAUGAACACGCCACUCACCGACCAAACCCUCGUUGGUAACGACAACAGACACAAUCUGAACAUGUUUAAAUUAUGAGUCAAAAACAAUAUUUUAUUGGUUCAAACUAUAUAAUCUGAAACAUGUCCAAAAUGUUGUUGAUGUUACACCGUGUGACUUGAAAGAUCAAUUAGAUCAAAUUAAUGAUUGUCUCGGGCACAUAAACACAGGAAGGAUGAUCAGUGUUGAGUAUUGUCAUCCGUCUAUCAAUUCAAACGAGCGUGUUUAGUUAAUAUAGAUGAAACUCCAUAAUGACGACGAUGUACCAACUCAAUUGCAAACCCUCCAAUUAUACUUUUUAAAUAUGUAUUGAUUAAUUGGCUAUUAGAAACAACAAUCAAUGUGGAGAUGAAUCUUUAUAAAUAUUAUUACCUCACUAAGGAGCUACUCCCCUAUCGCAGUUUAAUUUUUUGCAAUAUUUACGUAAUGAAUUCUCUCCAUUUUUCUCAAUUAUUAUAUCUCAAUUCACACAAUCCACAACUACUCUAUUGCUCAUAAAUCAUACAUGGUGAAAUUAAUCUAACCCCAUACCUCUUAUCUUCCAAAGCUAGCUUCCUACAAGCUUGAAUCUCCCUCUUCUAUUUGGUUCUUGAGCUUUCCUCCUUCCUUUUUCUAGACCCCCUUUUGAUUCUCUCUUGCCUCUUGCAUGCCUCUUUCUGAAAACUUAACAAAUAUUUUUCUAAUCCUAAAUCAUAAAGACUACCACUUAUUUAUAUCCAUUUGUAUUGAAUUUGGUUGACUUAACUCUUAUUGAGCUUAGUCUCUAUUCUUUUUCGUAGAGAAAACACUACACCAUUACUUCACUUCACUUAAUACUCCUUUUUAAUUCUACACUUAUAUUCUCUUAAUUCCUCAAAGUUUCUACUAACUUCACAAAAAUACCACCACACCUAAAUUACCAAAAUACCCUUUAUCCAUCAAUCUCUAAUAAAAAUCCACUAACCCAUCAAUUCAAACACAUCAAAUAAACAAUUAAAUAUAAAUAAUUAAAAAUCGAGAUGUUACAACUCCAAAUACCAUUCCUUCAUCCAAAUCUCCAACUCCCAAGUUAUGCUCUCUCUGGGAGGUCCUCCCUAAAUCACUUUCACCGAAGCAAACUUCUUUCUUCUAUGCCGUUUAACUUCGGAUUGGGAUUUGCUGCUGUAGCAAAAUACCCAAGUUUCACAAAGUUAUGCCAAACGACGGCGUUUCAACUUUUUAAAAUAAUCUUUUUAAAAAAGUAUUAUAAAGUUUCUCCUCCAGCUAAGACAACAUGUUGUCUUCUAGUACAGAACAAAGGAAAGGUUUGAAUCAUAAGAAGCUAUAAUGAAUGAAAAAAACUCAAGUGUUAAUUGAACUAGCUUGUGAAUCCAAAGCUCAUUCACAAUAUCUCCAGAAGGUUUGAAUCCCAAGCUCAUUCAAAAAAUUUGAGCAGGAACAUAUUGCGUCUGUUUAAUUUGAUUGUAAACAAUUCUUCUUCUUCAUCACAAAUUUCUUGUUUAAUUUGAUUUCUCCAAACAAUAUAAAAACGAUUUGAUUCACUUUAGUCGUAAAGGGAUUCAGAUGAUGGGAGGAGUGAAGAACCAUGCUUGACGACGACCGCCAUCUCUCCGACCAUGCUUGACGACGACCGCCAUACAAUCUUCUCGUCGUCGUUAUAUUUUCCGACCCCCAUGAAGUGUUGUGCAAUCUGAUUUAGAGUGACGUGGUUUAGACAAUAAAGACUAUAAACCAUAGGAGAAGCAAUCUGGUGCGUUGGAUCAUUUGGAUGGCUUUAAUGGUCUAGAUUUGCUCAACUGUGUGUAACUCUGGGAUUCUUUUACAGCAGCUAAUCUAAAUCCCUUAACUUCUCGCUCUUCAAUCCUAAAUGACACAGUCUCAACAAACAAGUUAUCCUCACUUGCAAAUUAUCCUCUUGAAUCACAUGCUACGGGUCGUAGACAUACUUUCAAAGUUGUGAAACAUGAAUAUUCGACAACGACGGUGGUAACACAAUCUGAUAAACCACUUCUCCUACCCUCUCUAUAUAAUCUGAUAAGACCAAUAAAACAUGGUGUCAAUUUCUUGGACUUCAAAGCACAACCAACAUUGGUCACUGGUUAACUCUCAAAAACACAUGAUCUUCGACUUGAAAUUCAAUAUCCUUUCUCCCUCUUACUGAGUUUUUCCCCUUUGUUUGUUCAAGAAGAUAACCACAUGCAAAGCCAUUGAUAUUCUCUAAACUGUUUACUGAAACAUCACAAUAACCAAAACCUUUUGUCUGUCCAACUAGUAACCGAAGACUUUAAAUUGUCAAUGGAGUAUUUCUUAGUGGUUUAUAUUUUCCUUUCCAAAGCCAUUAUGUCCACCACUAGUUAUAGAAGAAAUAAAGUGUCCAUGUCAUAGAGCAAGUAGUGCAACUAAAUCACAAAGGUAACAUAUAUUACUUUAAUUUUGCAAUUGCUGCAUUAUGGCAUCUAGCAGUGCAACUAAAUCAGUUGACAAAGUUACAUUGAGGGUUAUGGUGGACAAAGAAAGGAACAAAGUUUUGUAUGCUGAGGCAGGGAAGGAUUUUAUUGAAGUUCUAUUCAGCUUCUUAACAUUGCCUUUAGGUACUGCUGUCAAAUUUGGCAGCAUUAGCUCACUAUAUCAAAGUGUGGCAAAUCUUGAUGAACAAUAUCUAUGGACUCGUACUUGCAAGGAAAUGCUACUUAGGCCAAGAAAUUCCAUGGAAAGUUAUUGUCAGAAGAUGAAACUGAAUAUCGACGACACAGAACCCAUGAAACACUUCAUCUGUGGGAACUGGGAUUGUGUUAGAAAGGAGAGAGGGAACCUUUUGAGCAUAUUUAGGAAUCAAAUGUGCAGUUGUGGUCGAGUAAUGGACAAAGUAUUUUCUCCACCGCCUCAACUGGAAAGUCUGAGAUUAGGAAGCGGGCUUGUUAAGGAAACUGCUGCAUUUAUUAUUUCCGACGAUCUUUGUGUGAUGCCUAAUGAUUUUGGAACAGUUAUACAACUACUUCAAAAGCUAGAAAUAUCUGAUAUUGACGCUAUUACAGAACAAACUGUUGAUAUCAGCAAGAAAGAGGCAUGCUUUCUUAUGCAACUCUCUUUUAAACUAUAUAUAUAAUCUAUGCUGUUGAUUAUUAAUUUUCUCAUUAAAUAUGUUUACUUUUUGCAGGUCAUAGAUAUUCUUAAGUUGUCCUUGGUCUCAAAGACCUCUUUGACAGACCUCAUCUUUAAAAAGAAAUAUUCUGAAGUUGUCAAUGGUCUCAAAGAUCCAAUAUGUAAGAUUGGAAAAGCGACAUCCGAAGGAGGUAGGCAGAUAUCUGUGAAAGUAGUGAGAAGAAAAUCAACUGGAGAUAUUUUGUUUGCUGAAGCAGGCGAUGAUUUUAUUAACUUUAUUUUCAGUUUUCUAACUCUCCCCUUAGGAGGAGUGUUGCAUAUGCUUGAAGGUUUCUCUUCUCUAAACAGCAUCGAUAAUUUAUACAAAAGCUUGACUGAGUUGAGUUCCGAAUGUUAUUUAAUCUUGAAACAUCUUAAAGAGAAGCUAAUUAGCCCUCCCAUUGCUGCACAAUUUGGGUUUGACAACCAAAUAAUUCCAAUUGGAGUAGCUUCCUCACCUGUCUAUUAUUGUCAUUCGUACAUUCAUAUUGGUCAGUAUACUCGCGCACUAACUGCUUCAAACACGCAUAUUGUCCGUUAUCCUGCUGAAAAGUUUGUACUUUUAAAUUUGGUUGAUCCUAAGCUAUCUGCUUCAAACGCAUCAAGUCGUGGAGAAUUUGCAAAAGGGCCAUCAGUAUACAUGGUGACAGUUGACUUGGCUAUUACUCCAAUGUCAUCCUUCACUGCUAUAUCACAUUUAAAUAGUUCAAAUGUUUCUCUAAAUGAUGUGGAAGAAAGGGUUGUUAGAAUUGGUCAGAAGGAGGUAAGCCAUUGUGUAAGAUCGUUGGCGUUUUCAUUCUUUGCAAUAUAUUUACAUUAAUUUGCAUGAAUUAUUACAAUGAUUUGUUUGUUAACAUAUUGCAGGGUCUCUGCAUUCUAAAAGCUUGGAUGAAUUCAACGUCUGGAAUGACAAAUGGGCUAAACCAAUUCAUAACAAACAUUAAGGAGGAGAAAUGACCAAUAUUUCUUUCCCAAUAUGCCAGUCGCGGGUGUUACAAAUGUUAUUAGAUCCGCAGCGUAGUUGAUAUAUGGACAAUAUUUCAUCAGUUGGUUAAGUUUUAUGUAAGCUAUUUUGAAUUUGAAUUUCGCAACGGUAUUUUAUUUGUCUCUAAGUGAUUUAGCAGCUAAUCUUUGGUUAUGAGGAUCGUUUGGAUAUUGAUGUAGGUUUUCUUUGUUUUCCUCAAAUUUUACAAUCUAUUGUGUGUUUAAUGGUUCUUAAAUUUAUAGUUUUCUACAACUGUUGUAUUUUGUUGCCUCAUUCCUCCAUCCAAGUUCAUGAAGACUUUGGGCCUGUUUGGAUAAAAAAUUUAUUUGUAGAACUUGUGUUGCUCUAUUUUGCAUUUUCUGUAAGUUGUUUUUAUAAGCUUUAUUGCAGAACUUAAGAAAAUAAGUUAAAAAAAGCAUAUGAAAAUUGUCAUAGCUGUUUGCAUAAAUUCUUCUAAACAGUCUCACAAAACUUAUGCUAGUAUAUAAGCUCAAAUAAAGUUAAUUGAAAUAGGCCUUUGUCUAGGUGGCAUUUUGUGCAUUGCGGGUUUAGUGUAAACUUUAUCUAUUUUGUUAAUAUUUGGGGUAAAACUAAAAGUAAGGUUUUUGAAAUUUAGAACAAAAAGGUUAUGAGAAGUUCAUGGACCAUUUUGUAAAUCAACAAAAGUUUGGUGUCAAAUUUUUAGUAAAGUAUUUCAACAUGUGAGGAGCCAUAAUAAGACAUAUUUUCCUCAGUUACGUGAAUUUAUCUUUUAAAACCUUUCUUGCUUCUUAAGCAAUAUAUUUUUAAAUCUUUCAUAAAGUUGAAAAAUUAACUGUUUUCUUAAAAUAAGUUAAUCAAAAUAUAUUAAAAUAGAGAUGUAACCAAUCACCUAACUGAUUAAGAUAUCUCUGAUUUGACAUUUUCCAUGUUAUUACGUGGUUACUUAAUUAAGGAAAACAGAUUCCAGAUUUGGUCUACAUUUCAUCCAAACUAUUCUUUUUAUGGAAAUAUAAAACAUGACAUUAAUAUCUAUCUAUCUUUCUUCUUAUUUUGGCAACAAGAACAUGUUGAGAGUGAUAUCUGACCAAUAAUGAUCCAAUCUUUGUUCAUAUUUUUCAAGACACAAUCUUACAUACAUACACUAGAGUACUGUAGAUUAACAAACUAUGAAUUUUGACUUGCAUAAGAAAACAAAAUUGAAUGUCUUUGACACCACUCUAAAGUUGUUCUAACCAUUAUUCACCUUCAAAGAUAGCAAUGUUGAGUUCAGCUUCUCUUUCAUUCAAUCAAAUAAUACUUAUUUAUUUAUCACUAUACUAUCCAAACCUAAAUAGUUGUGGCUAAGUAUCACUAUACUGUAUACAAAUAACAUUAAUAUGGAAAAUAGUUCGUAUUUUAAAAACUUAUAAUUGAAGUUCAUACAAAUUCUCAUCUUAUAUAACUCACAACUCAUAGGCAGACAUUCUUGCAAACAUUCAAAAAUUCUUUAAUACAAUAUCUCACAUUCCUCAAAUCCCUUCAACAUUAAUUCAUCAUCAUGAACCCACUAGAUACUACAGAAUUCAAGAAACAAGGUCACAUGAUGAUUGAUUUCCUUGCUGAUUAUUAUGAAAACAUUUCAAACUAUCCUGUCCUAAGUCAAGUAGAACCAAACUACCUCAAAAAACUGUUACCUACUUUUGCCCCUUCAAAUCCUGAACCUAUUGAAACCAUCCUUGAAGAUUAUCAAAAAUACAUAAUCCCAGGUAUAACACAUUGGCAAAGUCCUAAUUACUUUGCUUAUUUUCCAUCAAGUGGUAGCACAGCAGGGUUCUUAGGAGAAAUGUUAAGCACUGGAUUGAAUGUUGUUGGAUUUAACUGGAUUUCAUCACCAGCUGCUACAGAACUAGAAAAUGUUGUUAUAGAUUGGCUUGGUGAAAUUUUGAAUCUUCCUAAGAGUUUUCUUUUUAAAGGUGGUGGUGGUGGUGUUUUAUUAGGCACAACCUGUGAAGGUAUUUUGGGAACUCUUGUUGUUGCUAGAGAUAAAAUUCUUAGCAAAAUUGGUAGUGAAAAUGCAGGUAAACUUGUUGUUUAUGGCUCUGAUCAAACACAUUGUGCAGUUCAAAAAGCAGCUCAUAUAAUAGGAAUUAACCCGAAAAAUUUCCGAGCUAUUAAGACUAAGAAGUUAAAUUCAUUCACUUUGUUGCCUGAAUCAUUGUUAUCAACAAUUGAAAAUGAUUUGAAAAAUGGUUUGGUUCCUUGCUUUCUUUGUGUAACUGUUGGCACAACUUCAACAACCGCAAUUGAUCCGGUAAGAAAAUUGUGUAAUGUUGCGAAAGAUUAUGGAAUUUGGGUUCAUAUUGAUGCUGCUUAUGCUGGCAGUGCUUGUAUUUGUCCAGAGUUUAGAUAUUUGAUUGAUGGUGUUGAAGAUGCUGAUUCUUUUAGUCUUAAUGCUCAUAAAUGGUUUUUGACUAAUUUAGAUUGCUGUUGUCUUUGGUUAAAGGAUCCAAAUUCUUUGAUAAAGUGUUUGUCAACGACGAAUUCAGAGUAUUUGGAGAAUAGUGCUUCUAAUUCAAAACAAGUGGUUGAUUACAAAGAUUGGCAGGUAACUUUAAGCCGAAGAUUUCGCGCUUUGAAGGUAUGGUUUGUUCUUAGAAGCUAUGGUGUUGAAAAUCUUAGGAAUUUUUUAAGGAACCAUGUUGAAAUGGCUAAAACUUUUGAAGGGUUGGUGAAAAUGGACAAAAGGUUUGAAAUUAUUGUACCUAGAAAACUUGCUGUUGUUUGUUUUAGGAUUUUACCAUAUGGUAAAAAAGUUGCUGAUGGAAAGGUAACAAAUGGAGAAGCUAAAUUAAUUAGUAGUGAAGAUGUUGUUGCUAAUGAGAUUAAUCGUAAGUUGUUGGAUUCUAUCAAUGCUUCAGGUGAUGUGUACAUGACGCAUGCUGUGGUUGAAGGAGUUUUUGUGAUUAGGUGUGCUAUUGGAGCAACUUUAACAGAGGAACUGCAUGUGGUGAAGGCUUGGAAGGUUGUACAAGAACAUGCAGAUGUGAUUCUAAAAGAUAACAUGAGUCGUAUAUUUGUCCAGAAACGGACUAUUGGCUACAUUGGUUACAACUUUGCAAUUGAAAAAUAAUAAAGUGUGUUUGGUUUUCGGGUGGCGAUGCUAGCAAGUUGGUCUCUCCUAGUGCUAAAAGGGUGAUUAAUAAACCAAUGUGGCUCAAAAACUUUAUACUUAAGUAAAAGUGUUGUUGUUUGUAAUUUCUUAUUUUCCCUUAAGAGGCCAUCAGCCCAAUUGUCUAAGCCUAUCAGGGCAGCAACCCUAGCUAUAUAAGGCUAUUGUUCCUAUCUUAAGAAUUAUGAAUAAAGUAAAAUUUUAUUUUCCGGUUUCUUUAUAAUUUUCUGCUGUUUUAUUUUUCCUGCAUAUCUUCUUUGAUUUGGUAACCAAGAACCUAGUAUCAUUGGUGCUUUCAUCUUGUUGAACCCAUGACUCUCAAACCUUCCGUUCCCACGAACAAAGACUUGGAUGAUGCCAUCCAAGCCGCCACCCAACAAUUCGAUGUAACCAUCGCCACCACUAACAACUGCAUCACCGAGCAGUUGGAAAUCAUCCACACAAAACUCGAUUCUCAACAACAAUCUCUCAUUGUAACACAAUUUUGUAUGCUGAGGCAGGAAAGGAUUUUGUUGAUGCUCUCUUCGGCUUCUUAACAUUGCCUUUAGGAACUAUUGCAAGACUAGUGUCCGAGGAGUCGAAUAUUGAAGCUAUGAAAUUUGGCAGCAUUAGCUCACUGUAUCAGAGUGUGGCAAAUCUUGCUUGAUGAACAAUAUCUAUGGAGUCGUUCUUGCAAGGAAAUGCUACUCGAGCCAAGGAAUUCCAUGGAAGCUUAUUGUCAGAAGAUGAAACUGAAUAUCGACGACACAGAACCUAUGCAGCACUACAUCUGUGGGGAUUGGGAUUGUGGUAGAAAGGAAAGCGGGAACCUUUUGAGCUUAUUUAGGAAUCAAAUGUGCAGUUGUGGAAGAGUAAUGAACAAAGUAUUAUCUCCACCGCAGCAACCAGAAAGUUUGAGCUUAGGAAGCGGUUUUGUUAAGGAAACUGCUGCAUUUAUUAUUUCAGACGAUCUUUAUGUGAUGCCUAAUGUUUUUGGGACAGUUAUACAACUACUUCACAAGCUGGAAAUCUCUGAUAUUGGCACAUCACGGAACAAACUGUUGAUAUCAGCAAGAAAGAGGCAUGCUUUCUUAUGCAACUCUCUUCGGAACUAUAUUAUCUAUGCCGUUGAUUAUUUGUUUUCUCAUUAAAUAUUUUUACUUUUGCAGGUCAUAGAUAUUCUGAAGUUGUCAUUUGUCUCAAAGACCCCUUUGACAGACUUCAUCUUUAAAAAGAAAUAUUUGAAGUGGCCAAUGGUCUCAAAUACCCCAUGCCUAAGAUUGGAAACGGGUCAUCGAAAGGGGGUAGGCAGAUAUCUGUGAAAGUAGUGAGAAGAAAAUCAACUGGAGAGAUUUUGUUUGCUGAAGCAAGAGAUGAUUUUAUUAACUUUAUUUUCAGUUUUCUAACUUUCCCUUUGGGAGGAGUGUUGCAUAUGCUUCAAGGUUUCUCUUCUUUAAACUGCAUUGAUAAUUUAUACAAAAGCGUGACCGAGUUGAGCCCCGAAACGUAUUUAAUCUCAAACCAUCUCAAAGAGAAACUAAUUAACCCUCCCAUUGCUGCACAAUUUGGGCUUGACAACCAAAUAAUUCCAAUUGGAGUAGCUUCCCCACCUUUUUAUGAUUGUCAUUCUUACAUUUUAAAAGGUCAAUAUACUCGCGCACUAACUGCUAUGCACAUGCGUAAUCUUAGUUAUCCUGAUGAAAGGUAUGUACUUUUAAAUUUGGUUGAUCCUAAGCUAUCUGCUUCAAACACCAUCAAGUCGUGGAGAAUUCGCAAAAGGACCAUCAGUAUACAUGGUGACAGCUGACUUGACUAUCGCUCCAUUGUCGUCCUUCACUGCUAUAUCACAUUUAAAUAGUUCAAAUGUUUCUCUAAAUGAUGUGGAAGAAAGGGUUGUUAGAAUUGGACGAAAGGAGGUAAGCCCGCCACUGCGUAAGACCAUUGGCGUUUUCAUUCUUUGCAAUGUAUUUUCAUUAAUUUGCAUGCAUUACUACAAUGAUUUGUUUGUUAACAUAUUGCAGGGUCUCUCCAUUCUGAAAGCUUGGAUGAACUCAACGUCUGUCAUGACAAACGGACUCAACCAACUCAUAACAAUCAUUAAGGACGAGAAAUGACCAAUGUUUAUUUCCUUGUAUGCAUAAUCGCAGGCUUUACAAAUAUUAUUAGACCCCAUAUAGCAUAUAGUUGAUAUAUGGACUAUAUUUCAUUUUCAUCAAAUAUUUGGUUAUGUUUUAUGCAAGUUAUUUUGAAUUUGAAUUUCUCAAAUGUAUUUCAUUUCUCCUUGAUUACUGUAAUUUUCUGAUAUAAAAUAACUUUCUGUAACGUGUUUCCUUUUUUAAUAAUGCCAUGCCACAUUGAUAGUUUCAGCACCUAAUACUUGAGUAUGAGGAUGUUUUGCUCAUUGAUGUGGGUUUUCUUUGGGCCUGUUUGGAUUUAAAUUAUUAUUUUGCAGUGUAUGGUACAAGUGCUUAUCAUGAUAAGCGUAUAUGUUUAAGCUCACUUAAGCAUAUAUGUAUAAGCUCACGCAAGCUAUAUCUAUAGUUAAAGAUAAAAUAACGUUAAAUUAUUUUCGUAUAUGCUAUAACUUGUUUUUAUUGAAGAACUUAUAAACGUAAUUGAAAAAAGUUGAUGUAAAUUGUCAUAAGUUGUAAGAAUUUUGUGGCUUUAGUGUAAGAAUUUUUCUAAUUACACCCAUGUAUUCAUGGUUACAUCCCAAAAUAAUAAAAUUAUUCUUAAAGAAAAUUGGGUUAAUUAAGUUUUUGGUCUCUAUAAAAAUAAAUUACACUUUUUAGUCUAUACAAAAUUUUCUGUUAGUGUUUUUAGUUUCUGUUAAAUUAAAAUUUAUUUAAUUAUGCUUAAACUUCUAAAUUUUUGAAAGAUUUUUUACAUACAUGUUCAUAACAUCGUAAGACACUCUUGUAUAAAAAAAAUUUAGUUUUUUAACAUGUAAUGAAUUAAAUAUGAUUUUUUCUAAAAGCCAAAUUUUCAAGAUUAUAUUAAUGAAAAUUUGGACCUAAUAAUAAAAUUUUAAGUUACUUUUUUGCAGAUGAACUUUGUAUAAUAUUCUAAGUAAGUAUGUGAAAAAUAUGUUACAAAUUUAAAAGUUUAAGCACAAUUAAGCAAAUUUUAAUUUUACAAGGACUAAAAGUAUGUGUUGGUCCCUAUUAAAUUGAAAUUUGUUUAAUUAUACUUAAACUUUUAUAUUUUUAAAUGAUUUUUAACAGACAUGUUAAGAACAUUAUAAUAAUCUCUUUUAUAAAAAAUUAGAAUUUUUUAACAUGUAAUGAAUUAAAUAUAAUUUUUUUAAACGCCAAAAAUUCAAGAUAAAACUAACGAAAAUUUGGACCUAAAAAUAAAAUUUUGAGCUAAUUUAUUGUGGCGGAACCUUUUAUAAUGUUUUAAACAAGUAUGUAAAAAAUCAUAAAAAAAUUUAAAAUUUUAAGCAUAAUUAAACAAAUUUUAAUUUAACAGGGACUAAAAACACUAACGGAAAAUUUUGUAGGGACUAAAAAGUGUGAUUAUUUUUAUAUGGACUAAAAACAAAACUGCAAAUAUUUAUAGGGACCAAAAACUUAAUUAACCCAAGAAAAUUUAAUAUCUGAAACUCAGUUUAAGUAGGUUAUGUAAACUGAGUUUAAGUGUACAUACUUAAACUCGGUUUAAGUAGGUCACUUAAAACUUAGUUUAAGUAGGUAAUGUAAACUGGCCACAUCCCUUAAGUGAGAUGCCACGUGUCGACCAUUGUGGGUGCCACGUCAGCGAAGACUAAGUCAAAAGUGGCCUUGGGGGCCAAAACUGCCAAAGAUCCAAUACAUAGGAGGUUGUUUUGUAUUUUAAUUAGUUAGGGGUCAAAAUCGCAACUUUUGGAAAGAUAGGGGGCCAAAAGUGCAAUUAAACCUUUAUAUAAAUUUUCUUAAAACCUUAAUUUCAUUCAUUUAAAUUCUAAAAUUUCACACUAUUUCACCCACAAACAAUCAUGGACGUUCAAUCAAUCUCUAUAGAAUAUUAAAUAAUAAAUCAAAACAUCUUUCAUCUAUACUCUAUUGCAUAUAAGUAAUUGAAUUUCUUAUUCUUUUUCAAUGAUGCAAGAGUUUCUAUUUUAUUCUUGUUGUUCAACGUUGAUAUGUUAUGCACUUUACAAUAGGAUAGAGAUGUAUAUUAAAGUUGAAAUUUUUUUAACUAUUUUCUUAAAAUCAGUUAAUCCAAAUAUAUAUUAAAAUAGAGAUGUAACCACUCACCUAACUGACUAAGCUAUCUCUGACUUUACAUUUUCGUAAAAUCAGUUAAUCCUAAUUUCAUGCAAGCUAUUAGACAGCUUCCAUUUCAGGCAAGCUUCUUACCCUCAUUCUGUCUAUUUAAGGGAAACAGAUUCCAAAUAUGGUCUAUAUUUUAUGGAAGCUAUUCUUUAAGAGGAAAUAUAAAACAUGACAUUAAUAUCUAUCUAGCUUCUGAAGUGAAAUAUUAGAUAUAACUUUCUUCUUACUUUGGUAACAAGAACUUGUUGAGAGUGAUAUUCGACCAAUAAUGAUCCAAUCUUUGUUCAUAUUUUUCAUGACACAAUCUCACAUACACUAGAGUACUGUAACAAACUAUGUAAAUGGGAUUUUCAACUAUAACAAACUAUGAAUUUUUACUUGCAUAAGAAAAAAAAAUUGAAUGUCUUUGACACCACUCUAAAGUUGUUAUUCACCUUCAAAGUUAGAAUUGUUGAGUUCAGCUUCUCUUUGAUGGAAUUAAAUAACUUUCUUUAUUACCUAAUCAAACAACCACAUAGUUUCCCUCAUGUAUAUAUAGACCAGGAUUUUUGACCAUUUUAUCAACACAGUUUCAAACUCAAAUAACAAUUUUAUCCUUCAUUCAAAAAGAAACAUGGGAGUUUCCCUUUUUUCAUCACUGAAAUUCCCAUUGAUCUUUUUAUCAUUGAUCAAUUUUUGUACAUUUGAGCUUGCAUUGGCAGGCAUAACCAGACACUACCAUUUUGAUGUACUACUACUACUUCCUUAAAACAAUUACUAUAGGCAUUACUCUUUAGUUUUUUUUUUUUCCCUCCUUUGUUCUGCAUGUAACCAAAUUGAGGCCACUAAUGCAGAUAAGGUACCAAAAUGUGACAAGGCUGUGCCAUAGCAAGAGCAUGGUGACAGUGAAUGGUCAAUUUCCAGGACCUCGCAUUGUAGCUCGGGAAGGAGACCGUCUUAUAAUCAAAGUGGUUAACCAUGUGCAAAACAACAUUUCCAUUCAUUGGUAAAGAAAAUUCUAUUUACAAAACAAAAUUGCUAAAAACUAGUGACAUUUUUAAGAUUUGAGCAUAAAAUUAAUUUGUAAAAAACUUUGCUAUCUUUUAACAACUUUUGUGACAACUUUCUCUCUCAUACUCACAUCAUGUUUUGGUUUUUGUGUCAAUACCUCAAUUUCUUUGUAAAUCUAUGUUGUCCAAUAAGUUGUCAUACAAAUGGUUGUUCGAAUAGGCAUGGCAUUAGACAACUUCAAUCAGGAUGGGCUGAUGGGCCAGCAUAUGUGACUCAAUGCCCCAUCCAAACAGAUCAAAGCUAUGUUUACAAUUACACAAUUAAAGGCCAAAGAGGAACACUCUUUUGGCAUGCUCAUAUAUCUUGGUUAAGAUCAACACUCUAUGGUCCACUCAUCAUACUUCCAAAGAAAAAUGAUCAAUAUCCUUUUGCUAAACCCCACAAGGAAGUUCUUAUCUUAUUUGGUAAUAAAACUAUUAAAGGGAUGAUAACCUUAAACUACCUAUCUUAAUUUUCAUAAGCUAAUUAAAAUAUAAAAUUGCUUUUAGGUGAAUGGUUCAAUGCAGAUCCUGAGGCAAUCAUAGCACAAGCUCUCCAAACUGGUGGAGGACCAAAUGUCUCUGAUGCAUACACAAUUAAUGGACUUCCAGGGCCAUUGUAUAAUUGUUCUGCUAAUGGUAUCAAGUGAUAAUCAACAUAUUUAUUGUAUAUUUUAGCAACCAAUUUGUGCAAUUCGAUACAUACAAUUUCUACUGCAACUUUACACAAUUAUUUACUUCAUAUAAAGUAAAUGAACAAUAUGAUUUAAAUGUAAAAUGUAAUUCUCUACAGAUACAUUCAAACUAAAGGUGAAGCCUGGAAAAACCUACCUUCUACGUUUGAUCAACGCUGCGCUGAAUGAUGAGUUGUUCUUCAGCAUUGCAAAUCAUACCCUCAAAGUUGUUGAAGCAGAUGCUAUUUAUGUUAAACCUUUUGAGACAAACACCAUCUAUAUUGCCCCUGGCCAAACCACUAAUGUUCUUCUCAAUACCAAGUCACACUAUCCCAAUGCGGCAUUCUUAAUGACUGCUAGACCCUAUGCCGCUGGCCCUGGACCUUUUGACAACACAACGGUCGCUGCUAUCCUUGAAUAUGAAAUCCCACCAAAUACUCAUCAUUCAGCUUCUUCACUAAAAAAGCAUCCUCUAUUCAAACCUAUUCUUCCUGCAUUUAAUGAUACAUCCUUUGCAACAAAGUUCUCCAACAAACUCCGUAGCCUAGCAAGUGCACAGUUUCCAGCUAAUGUUCCCAAGAAAAUCGAUAAACACUUUUUCUUCACAGUAGGCAUUGGUACUAACCCUUGUCAAAGCAACCAAACUUGUCAGGGACUCAAUGGAACAAUGUUUGUGGCAUCAAUGAACAAUGUAUCUUUCACAAUGCCAACUACAGCACUUCUUCAAUCCCAUUUCUUUGGACAAAACAAUGGAAUUUACACCACUGAUUUCCCAAGUAAACCUUUGAAUCCAUUCAACUAUACCGGCACGCCACCGAAUAACACUAUGGUGAGUAAUGGAACAAAGGUUGUUGUUCUUCCUUUUAACACAAGUGUGGAACUUGUGAUGCAAGACACUAGUAUUCUUGGUGCCGAAAGUCACCCUCUCCAUUUGCAUGGCUUUAACUUCUUUGUUGUUGGACAAGGAUUUGGUAACUACGAUUCAAAUAAGGAUCCACAAAAAUUUAACCUUGUUGAUCCCGUUGAAAGGAAUACAGUUGGUGUUCCAUCUGGUGGAUGGGUUGCUAUCAGAUUCCUAGCAGAUAAUCCAGGUUGGUUCCUAGAUUAUUCGUCAAACUAUCAAAAGUCAUUUUGGUUUCGAAGAAUGUUUUAGUUCACUUUCAUAAAUUAACAAAAAGAAAGCAUGCAACUAUAAAUUAACAAAAAUGUCUAAUUGUGUUUGCAGGGGUAUGGUUCAUGCAUUGUCAUUUGGAAGUACAUACAAGUUGGGGUCUUAGUAUGGCAUGGAUUGUCUUGGAUGGAAAACUCCCAAAUCAGAAGCUGCUUCCACCACCAGCUGAUCUUCCCAAGUGUUAACUUCAACAAAAAAUGACUUCAUUUGUUACUUUUAUCUUCUUUGUAUGUUAAAAAUUAACUGAACCAUUCUAACAUUAGAAACAUCACUUUGUAAUCCUGGCAAUAAAUCAAGGCAUAAUCUUCAACCUGAUAAGGGUGGCUUGAGUACCAUUAUCUUCAAAUGAGUCUAAUUUGUUGAUUAACUAAAUCACACUUUUUAAGGAUAAACAACUUGGUGAGAUAAAUUCAUAGAUUUUAAAUUUAAUUGUCAAAUUCUAAUACAAUAUACAAAUGCAAAAUAAAAAGAUAGAAAUAUAUCUCCAUUAUAUCUCUAUAUAUUGUACAAUAAUUUUUUUUUAUUAUGUUCUCGUCAUCAAAGGAAUACAAAAUUUUAAUGACAAAACAAAAUGAGUUUCGUCUUAGAGUUUCACAUAGAAAAGUUGGUGCUUGCUUGCAUAUGUUAUUGCUUUCAAGUUACAAUAUUAUUAAACGUGGAAAUGGAGACGAUCCAUUUCCAAAAUAAGUUUGUUGUGUCCUCGUCUGACUCAGAACCUGUCCUAGUAGAAAGGAAAAUUCAACAAUAUCUUAGAGUUUCGUUAGGUAUGGUGUAGACAAAAUCAAUUCAAAUUUAAAUUUAAAGAAUAAAAAAUAUAAAAAUAAUAUGACUUUGGAUUAUGGAUAGUUGUUCAAAAAACAAAACUUUAGGGUAUAGGAAUGGUUCAAAACUAAUGAAUGCCAAAUCAGAUAGCAAAAGCAACCUCAACUCACACAUGGUCACUCUGAUAUACCAUUUGUAGCAUUGUAAUAAUUUCAUAAUAUUGGUAUCAAUACAAGGAGAAUUUGCACUAUUAACAAUUUAUUGUUAUUGAACAUGACAGAAAACACGAGUAAAGAAUCACAGAUGCGCAAUGUUAAACUAGAAUUUCCUAAUUUCAACGGCCAAAAUGUGUUAGAAUGGAUUUUCAAGGCGGAACAAUUUUUCGAUUACUAUAAGGUUCCAGAAGCAGAGAAACUUACUGUGGCAGAAAUGCAUUUAGAUCAGGUGAUUAAUCCUUGGUUUGAAAUGAGCCAACCAUUCCUUACUUGGAGCGACAUGAGUGAUGCUCUUGAAUGUGAUUUCGGUCCAAUCUGUGCUUGUGCUUCUCUGAUUAAAUUGUAGAAUCACAUAGCCAUGCAUUGUUUUUUUUAAUAAUGUUGCUAUCAUGUUUUGGGAUUUACGAAGCAAUGACACAAACAUGUAAGGUGGGCACAAUGAUAAUGUAAAAAUUGAACUGAUUGAAUGAAUGGGAUUAGGACCUUGGAAGGGAAUUGGAAAAGAAAACUUUAUCGAAAAGUGUUACAUCUCUAGCAAACAAUCCAAGUAGGACUGGACUUUGCCCACAAUUUUUCCUCCCAUUCUUUUGAGCUAUUUGAUCAUUAUGGACAUGAAGUUCAACAUUAAUAAGAAACUACUAAUAUUCUUAACAAAAUGGGAUUCCAUACCGAAAUUCAAGUGAUUAGUAAUUGCAGUGGUUGAUAGUAAGUUUAGGGAUGAAAACUCAAAUGACAUAUAUUUGCAGGGACUAUUUGCAUAAAAAAAAAGAUACGCAACUUUUCUUUUAAGGAUUAGCAACUUGUUAGGUUAAUUCAUAUAUUUUAGAGCAUUGCUAAAUCACACGACAAAUCCAUGCACACGUCCAGCACGAUAUUGUUUAGUGGAAAUACACGGUCGUGCAUAUCCCACGACAAAGCAAGUCGUGUAUUCAAGCAUUUCUCUAUAUUUUAAAUCCAUAUGUACACUAUCUCUUGCAGUCUCUUUUUGCAGUUUUAAGAGCAAAACUCUCGUUACUUUCUGUCUAAAUUAGACUUUCCAGUUUUUAUUGUUAAGCGAUAAUAACACACGGAAGACCUUGUUAUAGUGCUAAAAGUAAUUACUACAUUACAUCCAAGUUUUUAAUUGAUCCAAAGAGGAGCAAUAAAUGGAAAUUUUGUGUAACAGAAAACUUGCCACAUGAGAAAAAUAGUAGUAGUCAGUCGUUAGAAAUUAAAUGUUGUAUAAUAAGAAAAAUACUGCAUACAACCAUAUUUUAGACAUACAACCUUUUAAUGAUGUAAUCUAGACAUAUGCAUGCAUACAUGGUACAAAGAAAAGCAAUUUUCCCUCGAUGUAAUACUCCAAUCUAAUGGUAGACGGUGCUUGGAGAGCAAAAGUUCAUUCGGAACAUAAUUUAUUAACAAAAAAGGAAACAUAAACAUACAGUAGCAGUAGUUUCAAAAAACAACCAUCACAUAUGGUUUAAUGCCUUCCUGCAAGGGCCAGAAUUUUGAGACAACGCUUGAUAAGAACUCAAUAUCUUAAUUUAGCAUAUGGUAAGUUCAGAACUCAAUUUGUUUCUGGAUGUGGUGGAACUUCUUGUGAUCCACCUUCUUUAGUCAGAGCUAGUAUCUUGACUCGAGUGCAACACAUCAUGUAAUAUCUUGAAAUAGGCAUGGCAUUAGACAACUUCAAUCAGGAUGGGCUGAUGGACCAGCAUAUCAUGUGACUCAGUGCCCUAUCCAAACAGGUCAAAGCUAUGUUUACAAUUACACCAUUAAAGGCCAAAGAGGAACACUCUUUUGGCAUGCUCAUAUACCUUGGUUAAGGUCAACACUCUAUGGACCUCUCAUCAUUCUUCCCAAGAAAAAUGUUCCAUAUCCUUUUGCAAAACCCCACAAGGAAGUUCCC